rnacentral:rRNA from 1 species
GACGAACCGUGCAAAUGUUGUUCGGAAUCACUGGGCUUAAAGGGCGCGUAGGCGGGCAAUCAAGUCCGGGGUGAAAGCUUUCGGCUUAACCGGAAAAGGGCCUUGGAUACUGGUUGUCUGGAGGGAGGUAGGGGGAUGUGGAACUUCCGGUGGAGCGGUGAAAUGCGUUGAUAUCGGAAGGAACGCCGGUGGCGAAAGCGACGUCCUGGACCUCUUCUGACGCUGAGGCGCGAAAGCCAGGGGAGCGAACGGG